GGCUCCGGUGGCCUAGCGGUUAGGGCGUCCGCGAGAUAUGCGGGAGGUCGUGGGUUCGAUCCCAGGCCGUGUCA